UACAGAGGGUGCAAGCGUUGUUCGGAAUUACUGGGCGUAAAGCGCGUGUAGGCGGCUGGUUAGGUGUGAUGUGAAAUCCUCGGGCUCAACCCGAGAACUGCAUUGCAAACCGGCCUGGCUAGAGUGCAGGAGAGGGAAGCGGAAUUCCAGGUGUAGCGGUGAAAUGCGUAGAUAUCGGGAGGAACACCUGUGGCGAAAGCGGCUCACUGGACCACAACUGACGCUGAGGCGCGAAAGCUAGGGGAGCAAACAGG
rnacentral:rRNA from 1 species